UACGUAGGGUGCGAGCGUUGUCCGGAAUUAUUGGGCGUAAAGAGCUCGUAGGCGGCCUGUUGCGUCCGCUGUGAAAGCCCGGGGCUUAACCCCGGGUCGGCAGUGGAUACGGGCAGGCUAGAGGUAGGUAGGGGAGAAUGGAAUUCCCGGUGUAGCGGUGAAAUGCGCAGAUAUCGGGAGGAACACCGGUGGCGAAGGCGGUUCUCUGGGCCUUACCUGACGCUGAGGAGCGAAAGCGUGGGGAGCGAACAGG
rnacentral:rRNA from 1 species